GCGAUUCCAACUACGUUUCACUUCUCGGGCGGGAGCGGGAGAAGACUAAACAGAUUUUUUCUGCUCGCUCUGUCUCUUUCUCUGUCUCGUAUCGUUUUGUACAGUAGGCCGGGAAAGAGAAGUAGUAAGAGGCCGCCGGCAAACGCCGAUGCGAGCCCGGGAGAGGCCUCGGCGAUUCAAUUUCAGUCGGCUCGCGAGCGGCAAACAGUAACGCCACACGCGGCUCGAGUGGGCGUGCGACAAUUUGGUCUCGACAGUUUACCGAUUCUUCGGUUUUUCGAAUUUUCGGCUAUUCGAAAUGUCAUAGAUUUCGAGCAACAUUAACGACAAAAAGAACGUAAGAAAAGUGAAGACGCGUUUGAGUGCGAAGUGCGGCGGAAAAAGUUGUGCACGUUCCUAUAUUUACUCCGAGCGAAAGUAAAAAAGUGUGAAAAAAAAAAAACAAAACGUUGCAUAAAAUAAACGCGAAUGUUUACGUGACGCGCAGCGUGCUGCGCACGUGUGGCGCCAUUCUGCCGACGACUCGAUACAUUUAUUCGUUAUUUGUAUGUUUAUUGUCCCCAGUAGAACAUUGUUAUUCCUAUUUUUUAUUUAAAGUGACGAUUUUUUUAUUUCAAAUUUGCAAAAAUGAUCGUUGCGACACUGAGAAAACUUGUGCGUUACAGCGGAGGCGUGGAUUGAUAUGUGACUUAAUUGUUACCGAAAGUAACAAAAUAGUGCGGUGGUGUCGAACUGCCGGCACGUGCUCCGCGCUCUCCCGCGUGCUCGUUCUUUCUCCCUCGCUCUUGCUUUUUUCUUGUUCGUUCGCUCGCUCGCUUGCUCUCGCCGCAACAACACAGUCCCUGGGAGACUUUCCGAACGCAUUAACUCAACAUCGGUUCUUGUGCCGCCUGAUGUAAUAUUCUAUAUUUACAAAGCUACUGGUGUUUUGGAAGAGGCCCACAAUGCAAUACUUCUGUGCAGCAUAUGCGUAUGAUAAAUAUAAAAAUAUUGCGGCACACGCUAAACUUUCGCGAUCGGGUUACUCACGGUAGCAGUCAGUUCGAAUCGUUUUGCAGUAGAGUCACGCACAGUUUUGGUUUUUCUUAUAUUGCGAGUCUAGAGAGACGCAAAUUUUUUUUGAGCAAAAAAUGUGGAGUGCUGUUUUUUGAUUUUGACAAUUAUCAAUGUGAAGACUCGUCGAACGAAUAGCAAAAUCAUUGAAUUUCGAAGACGCAUUGUGACAUUUUUUUACUGGUGAAGAUUAUUUGUGGGUCAGUCGUUACGGAUCGUCGAAAAUUUUCGAUCGCUAGUCCGGUUAUUUUUUAUUCGUUUCGCGGUAAAUCAGCGAUGGGGCGUAUCGGGUAAUGAUUAGCGUUCAGUGUCGUCGCGACUCUCAUAGCAGAUGGGUCGGUGCGUGGUAAUCCCGUGCGAGUGUAAACAUCGGAACGAGUCGUUACCGCGAGUUUUGUUGUUCGUUACGGUGAAGGAGAACGAGGCCGCGUGUAUUGUUCGAGUUGAGCGUGAAUAUAUGCGAUGAUUCCAUGCAGCGUGGACAAGCGCGAAGACAAAAAAACAAUUACGGGAUUGUUCGUGAUCGUCGUCGAAGCAAGGGUGGCGUGUUGUGCAACUCUGAAGUUUCAAGUUCCGCGUGUUUUUUAAUUCCGCUAACGGUGAUACGGUGAAGAAUAUUUCAAAAUAUCGGAGAUUUUAACGAGUGCGUUGCGAAUGCGAAAUGUCGAUGAGAAUGGAAUUCGGCGGUUACAAGGGCACGGGAACUCGCGUGAGGGUCCGUCGUCGAGCCGAAUUGGGCCGACGUCUUACGAGAAGAUUGUCCAUGGUCGCUCGUGUUCCCGCUGCAUUUUUGCAGCGCGCAAAUCCACCUGAUCCAAAACACAUCGAAAUAACCGCCAUUGCACCUGACAAGACUCAAUUGACGCUUCCCGCCGUUUCGCCAGGUCCUGUUUCCUCUCUUGUCGCCCCUGUAUUGCUCAAAUACCGGGUUUGUCGACCGCGUCUCCUCCUGGCUGGCUCGAGAGCCGAGAUCGAUCCGGCCGCCGAUGUCGCCCUGCUUCUCGGCGAAGUUUUACUCAUCGAGGAUGCCGCCAGACAAUUUAAUCCCAUUGGAGACACUGAUCGAAAAUAUCGUGCAACGGAAAAACUUCUCCACGCCGAGGACGAAUAUCGCGAGAUACUGUGCAGCGCGAGGGAACUUUACGCGCGUCCACUAGCCCGCAAUUAUCCUGAAUUUCACGAUGUCAUUUUCCAGCCACUGGCCGAAGUCUCGAAAAUGAGCGCCGAGCUCUGCGACAGGGGCAACGUGACGCGCAGAUUUUAAGGCACUGUCGUCCUCGUCGUGCUGGGCAUCGAUCGAACGACGCUUCUUCAAAUGUUCCUCUACGACAUCUAACGGCAAAGUGUGUUUCAGUCGUUCUGCACUCAGCGCCAAGUGUGUACGUACAACCACAGUUUCGUUACCAUCGGGAUCCCACCCGAUAACCAGAGAAUGACGAUGUACGGGAUCCUCGAAGAGUCUUCCGAUUCUCUUCAUCGCCUGCGUCACAAAAUCGUCGAUCUUUCACGUUUUUUCGUUCACCUACUCUUGUGUGAUUCAUUUCUUACGUAAUUUUUUGAAUACAUACGCCUUCUUGCAGAUCGUAAGAAACUUUCCCGGGCAUAUUAUGGUCGACGUUAGCAAAAUAGACGGGCGUGUCGACCGAUGCGAGCAACGAAUCACGGGGAUGGAGCCACAUGUUUAUGUCCUUGCCGAAAGCUCGGAUCCGUACGUUUGCUUUUUCCCAUUUGUUUUCUUCGAUCCAUCGCUUGUCAAUGCUUUUCGGCAGUUCAAUCUUUACAAGCUCGUGUUCCAUCACUGUUAAUUAUAAAUAAUUUCACUUUUUUCACAGCGAAUAUGAGAAUUAAUCACUAAUCACACUAAAUCAGCAGUUUUUAAUGAAUAUUAUUAAAAAAUGCGACACGAUCGAUAAAUUUUUUUUACCGGUUUCCGGGUUAGCAUUCAAGUACUCUAAAAUCGGAUCACCAUUCACAUCGACCUGUGAAAAGUUUGUUCAGAAUUUAUUCUUUCUGUUUCUCUCUGCUUAAUGUAUUCUUUUAUUCAACAAUUAUUUCCAAUUUCUCUCCGUCUCCUUCGGAAAGUUAAUAUUGAAGCUUUCGUACCUUCCCGUAGCAGAGAAAAGGCUGCACGAUGGAUAAACAAAAAAUUACAAGACCGCAACGAUUCAUGGAUUUUGGAUAGGCCAUCGCAGUAUGCAUGAAAGCCAAACUUCCUGUCAUAAGUUUCUAUACGACUGGCGAUUGGAACUCGGUAGACCAGCAGCCUAAUAAGGGAUUUUCGGGAACGGCGAAAUCGGCUCAUGCGACAAUUGAUAGGUUUCGAUAAAUUUUGGCUGUCCCCAAAUUUUAUGCAGUCUGUUGCGCCAUUUUUUCGCCAUUUGUGAGGAU